rnacentral:rRNA from 1 species
GACAGAGGGUGCAAACGUUGUUCGGAAUUACUGGGCGUAAAGCGUGUGUAGGCGGCCAGGAAAGUCGGAUGUGAAAGCCCCGGGCUCAACCCGGGAAGUGCAUUCGAUACUGCUUGGCUAGAGUCUCGGAGAGGUUGGUGGAAUUCUCGGUGUAGAGGUGAAAUUCGUAGAUAUCGAGAGGAACACCGGUGGCGAAGGCGGCCAACUGGACGAAGACUGACGCUGAGACACGAAAGCGUGGGGAGCAAACAGG